GAACGAAGCACUUGAAUGGAAUUCUUCGGAAGGGAGCUCAAGUGACUGAGUGGCGGACGGGUGAGUAACGCGUGGGUAACCUGCCUCAUACAGGGGGAUAACAGUUAGAAAUGACUGCUAAUACCGCAUAAGCACACGUGAUCGCAUGAUCGAGUGUGAAAAACUCCGGUGGUAUGAGAUGGACCCGCGUCUGAUUAGCUAGUUGGUGGGGUAAUGGCCCACCAAGGCGACGAUCAGUAGCCGGCCUGAGAGGGUGAACGGCCACAUUGGGACUGAGACACGGCCCAAACUCCUACGGGAGGCAGCAGUGGGGAAUAUUGCACAAUGGGGGAAACCCUGAUGCAGCGACGCCGCGUGAAGGAUGAAGUAUUUCGGUAUGUAAACUUCUAUCAGCAGGGAAGAAAAUGACGGUACCUGACUAAGAAGCCCCGGCUAACUACGUGCCAGCAGCCGCGGUAAUACGUAGGGGGCAAGCGUUAUCCGGAUUUACUGGGUGUAAAGGGAGCGUAGACGGCAGUGCAAGUCUGAAGUGAAAGCCCGGGGCUCAACCCCGGGACUGCUUUGGAAACUGUGCAGCUAGAGUGUCGGAGAGGCAAGCGGAAUUCCUAGUGUAGCGGUGAAAUGCGUAGAUAUUAGGAGGAACACCAGUGGCGAAGGCG
rnacentral:rRNA from 1 species